rnacentral:rRNA from 1 species
UACGGGGGGAGCAAGCGUUGUUCGGAUUUACUGGGCGUAAAGGGCGCGUAGGCGGCCACCGCAAGUCGGUUGUGAAAUCUCUGGGCUUAACCCAGAAAGGUCAACCGAUACUGCGGGGCUAGAGUGCAGAAGGGGCAACUGGAAUUCUCGGUGUAGCGGUGAAAUGCGUAGAUAUCGAGAGGAACACCUGUGGCGAAGGCGGGUUGCUGGGCUGACACUGACGCUGAAGCGCGAAAGCUAGGGGAGCGAACGGG